rnacentral:lncRNA from 1 species
CCGUGUCUACAAUAAGUAAAUAAUAAAAUUAAAUUAAUUAAGGCAUACAUAUAAGAGUUUUUACAGUUCUAGUGAACAGUUUUGGUAUAGAUUUUUUAUUAGUCUAUCGACCAUAAUAUAUGUACCAAUCAAGCUGUUCGUAUGCCUGAUCGGAUCCUGCUACGCAGUUUGAUUUUGUCGGAUCCUCUACCACCUAUCGAAGUACUUUUUGCUACUCCA